UUUAUAUUCUCUAGGGUUUCUCAAUUGAGCUUGCUCUCCAAACAUAUUGCUCAUGUCGCCGCUUGGGACUUUCUCCAACUUUGACCUUCCUUUUUCUGUUGCAUUGGAUUAUCAAUCCUUUUGUCUUCUUGUUCUCUAAUCCUCUUCUCAACUCACAAAGUUUUAGUAGAAAUAUCAAGAUGCUCCCGUUCUCCUUUCAAAUAAAAGAAGAUUUGGACAUCACAACUGAAAGGACAUGUGAUGGGCAAAAACUGAAGGAGUUCCUUUCUAGGAACAGUUUUUCUAGUCUCCAUGUGACUUUCAAGCUCUUGUUUUUUACCGUUGCAACUUUUUGUCUUCAAUGGAGAACCAAAUAUUUCAAACUAUUGAUUGUUCAAUUGAAGUUGUGAAGGAUUCAUGGUCAAAGGAUAUUGCUGAGAUUCUAUGUAUGUUACAAGAGGUUGUAGGGAAAUUAUCUCGAACCACACCUCAAUUUUCCCUUGAGUCAUGUUCAUCCAUGGAAGUAGAUUUCGUGGAAAUAUCCAGAUUCAACUUCGAUGAUCCUGCAACACGGUUCAGGUAGAACAAUAUUUCACUCACUGUAACAUUCGUUUAGAUAAAAAAAUUGUCAUUGGAGUCUUUAUAUUUGGAUGUGGAUGCUUUGAAUUGGUAUUGCUGGUUAUUUCGAAACAAGCAACUUGCCGAUUUGGAUUAUUUUGUAGCAAAAUUGUUCAUGCGAUUCUGAACUCGGACUCAAGAAACACCUGAUAGGCGUUUAGCCUUUCUCCGGCAACUUACCACAAUAGACUGUUGUUCGGAAGGAACUGCAACUAUUCCUUCAUGGAAUACCAUGGCCAACUCUUCCUCGCCUCAAUAUUGGAAUGUAGGCUAUGACUACAACAACCAAACAUUUGCCCAAAAUGUUGAAUAAGACAACGGAAAAUGUUGUGAAUGUUGAAGCAAUGUGUCAAAUGCCAGAUGCUAUGAAACCAAAAGGUGACUACAAGGAUAUACCAUCACAAAUUAAAAUUGAGGGUGCUGAAAUUUGGCUAACUCGAGCAAAACAGGAGGACUGUUAUUCUAAGGAGAUACCUUCCUCUAGUUCCGAUAAUGACAUAUAAAAAUGUCCAAGGAGGCAUGCCAUUGCAGAUCACAGAAACCGGUGCUAAAGUUACAGUAAACAAGGCGUACAAGUUGUUUGGUAUUUAUUAUCAUAAAGUCCGGCAACAAUUAGUUGACAAUAAAGUGGUCGACUCACUCUGGAAAAGAAGUGACCCUUUGAUUUUAGAUGGAACCAGAUUGAUGCACAACCACAUAUUUAUAAAUUUUCAUUUGAUCCCGGUGAGUCUAUUUCUCAUUUAUGUUCAAGGGCAUGAUAUACAUUUUGAUAUAUCACGUUACUUGUCGAUUGAAUUGUAUUCUAGUGUAUUUGUUCUUGAUAGUACUACAAAAGGCGGAAAAUUGUUGACUGAAAUGGCAGUAUAAAACUGGGUGGACAAACUGGUCAACCUCGACUGCCACGACCACUUCCAAAACAAUCUUUCAAGGCUUUACUAUUGGAAUUUUCUAGCGCAACUUGAGCAAUCUGUUGAAAUAGCAAAUGAAUUCGACUUGCUUGUUAUAA